CCAGCUUCCAGCGGAUGUCCUGGUUCCUAAAAGUGUUCAGAGUACUGCCACUACUUCCUGCAGAUGUGCAAACCAGCAGGUGGAGAGGGAAAGAGCAGGAAGGAAGUUGAGUAAAGGUGGGAGGGUAGUAGGAAGUACCCCCUCUCAGGCUCCUCCUUUCCUAGGCAGCGACUGUCUGUUCAAAACCACAGCAAGGCUGCCCAAAGCGAUGUCUUCAACAGGAGGGAGGUGUUGGUCCAGAAACAGUAAAGCUAAUCUUUGUUGAGGGCUUGUUAAUGAGACAACAUGCUGAGCAUCAUCUUGUAUCAUCUUCACCUUAACCACAGAAGACACUAACAUCACUGUCUCCUUUCUGCAGGUGAGGAGCUCAAAGCAUAAAGAGAGGAAGUCACUUGUUUCAGCUCUCAGGGUCCAGGAGCCUGUCUGACUCCAGAGGGGACUCAUGCCUGGGCUUCCUGUCUCCAGGGAAUCUGGACAGAGCGGUGGAAAUUUCAGAUGGAGGCUGGAUAAAUAACCAGAUUUUGGAGCUAGAAGGAGCCGGCCGGGCACACACUCUUCCCUGUUGCUCUGCAUUGGAAGAGGUAGUGGGGUGCGGGGUCCUAUCCAAGCAGGCUGGAGAGAUGGAGAUCCACACCGCCCACCCCCAACCCCAGAAGUGGCCAAACAGUGCUGGGCCUAUUUUUAGGCCUGAAGAAAAUCCUCAUACAAGAGAGGAUGAGUCUCUCCCUUGCCCUCUGUACACAUACACAGACACACUCUCUGAUUGGAGGGGGAUGCAAUUGCGACACCAUGCUCUGAGCUUCUCUGUAAUUAAGGUGCUUCUCAGAUGUGGGUGUGUCUAAUGACUCUGCUAAUGCUGAUCCGUGGGGGAUGCUUUGGAAUUCAGUGGGAAAAAAAUAGAGGCAUUGAUUCAUUCUGUCAGAAAGAAGAAAUAGAAGGAGCUCCUUUAGAGUUUAUUUCUCUAUCCCUUUCUUUGAGAAUUCCCAAGACCCUAAUGGCCAUGCUCUUCCUUUGCUUCUGACACCCCCUGAAUUCCUUCUCCCCAUCUCCAGAAUAUCAUUGCCCUUGCCACAACAAGCUUUUCCGAAAACAUGAAGGCCUCUCCUGGGAUUCUUUUUUUUUUUUUUUUUAAGAUUUAUUUAUUUAUGAUAGACCUAGACAGAGAGAGAGAGAGAGAGAGGCAGAAACACAGGAGGAGGGAGAAGCAGGCUCCAUGCCAGGAGCCCGACGUGGAACUUGAUCCCCGGACCCCAGGAUGGCGCCCUGGGCCAAAGACAGGUGCUAAACCGCUGAGCCACCCAGGGAUCCCCUCUCCUGGGAUUCUUAAAAU
rnacentral:lncRNA from 12 species